rnacentral:SRP_RNA from 1 species
UCGUGCUAGAUGGAGAGUUAGCGGUGCUCUGUAACCUGCAAUCCGCUAUAGCAGGGUUUAAGUCCAUAGAGCGGCUUAAUNNACAUUAAGUNUAUAAAGUACGAAGUGUUGAUAUUUUAGCCCAUCUCAAUAAAAUAUCAUUGAAACCCGUCAGGCCCGGAAGGGAGCAGCGGUAGAUGAAUUAUUUUGUGUGCUGAUGGAUAACUAAAAUUGAGNUUACGGCUUUCAUAUGUUUUAUGAUGAAUUAUGUCAAUCUAUGGUGCACGA